AGCCUUGGUUCUGUUCCUGGUGAUGCAACAUGCAAACAGGAUUAGUGACACUGGUGUCCACAGGUUUAGCUUUAUAAAUCACAAUGAAAUGUGCUCUAGAUCAUCGUCGAAGUCUGUGAUGUUUGACAGGAUCCUCUUGAUGUCCUCUAUCAUGUCCUUGAUCUCAUCAGGGGAUUUGGGCAGCUGAAUGGACAACACAGCAUUGGCCAGUUUCUCAAUGUCCUCCGGCUUCACCAGCUCGUCUGUUAAGUGGGGUCCAGUGGAGUGUUCCCUGCAGUCCAGACAGUCUCCAGUGACCAGGUCACAGAUGUCAGCCAACCCGUUGCAUUUGCAACCUCUGCACAGGGGAAAAC